UACGUAGGGGGCAAGCGUUAUCCGGAUUUACUGGGUGUAAAGGGAGCGUAGGCGGCGGAGCAAGUCAGAAGUGAAAGCCCGGGGCUCAACUCCGGGACGGCUUUUGAAACUGCCCUGCUUGAUUUCAGGAGAGGUAAGCGGAAUUCCUAGUGUAGCGGUGAAAUGCGUAGAUAUUAGGAGGAACACCAGUGGCGAAGGCGGCUUACUGGACUGACAAUGACGCUGAGGCUCGAAAGCGUGGGGAGCAAACAGG
rnacentral:rRNA from 1 species